UUGAUGGCGACCGGCGCACGGGUGAGUAACACGUAUCCAACCUGCCGAUGACUCGGGGAUAGCCUUUCGAAAGAAAGAUUAAUACCCGAUGGCAUAGUUCUUCCGCAUGGUGGAACUAUUAAAGAAUUUCGGUCAUCGAUGGGGAUGCGUUCCAUUAGGUUGUUGGCGGGGUAACGGCCCACCAAGCCUUCGAUGGAUAGGGGUUCUGAGAGGAAGGUCCCCCACAUUGGAACUGAGACACGGUCCAAACUCCUACGGGAGGCAGCAUG
rnacentral:rRNA from 1 species